CUGGGCCUGUGGCAGAGAGAGGGAGAGAGAUAUAUGCGUCAGAUGGAACCCUAACUGAAAAUCCGAAAUCCAUCCAUGUCCAUGUCCAUGUCCAAGUCGAUGUCGUUCGCCGGAACAAGGAUGAUGGCCGCGGCGGCCCGGCGCGCCUUCCACUCCCAGCCUCCGUCCGGCCCCCUCACCGACAUCGCGGAAGAAUCGCAGGUGAUCAGCUCCCUUUAUGAGGUGGCAAAGGCGAAGAAUCUUUCCCGGGUGCCACGGCAGUUGGAUCCUUCGACGCGGGUGCACAUCGCUCUAGAUAUCGAGCACAAAAUCAGCAUGAUCAGGAUCGGUGCUAGUCCUUCCGAACCGCAAGGAUUUAUUUAUUUCUUAAAAUAUACUAAUACUCUCUAUUCCUAAAUAUUUAACG
rnacentral:lncRNA from 1 species